UUUUCUUUACAUAGAACUCUUCUAGACAUCCAUACAAAGUAGUUCAAGCUUUGGUUCCAAUCUUUAGACCUUAAACUCAUAUAGAAAACCUUGCUGAAAGAUCACAUAAGUUGCUGGGAAGCUGUAGGAGUAGUUAACCAAGUGGAUUAAGGAAUUUCGUGGCUUUAAGCAUCCUUAGUUAAGAGUCAAACAUUGUUGCAGGUUUGGUGUUGUGAGCUCAGGAUUCUGAAGUGAAGCAAGAUAAAGAUGCCGUCGUAGCUUAUGGAUUGAGUUUGUAUUUUAGAUAGUCAAUUAAGGAAUAGUUUCUGAUAUAUUUCGUUGUAUACAAUAUUUGGGAAUAUUAGUCGAAAUGUCAGUGUAAUUGAAGUCUUAUAGAAAGGAUUUUGUUUUGUGGGCCAAUAACCCACAGGUCCAGGAUCGUUUUCCAGGUUAUGUUUCCGUUGCGAGUAAAUGUUUAAUUCGAGGCUUAUUAAGCAUUGAUUGUGAUUAGUGAAUCUUAAGUGUAUUUACCUAGCAGCUCGGGAAAACGGGCUGGUACAGAGGUGCUUCACCAGCCCAGCAUAAAUGCUAAGGAGCAGCUGGCCCUGGAUCGGACAUCCACCUGGA